rnacentral:misc_RNA from 1 species
UACGGAGGGUGCAAGCGUUGUCCGGAUUUAUUGGGUUUAAAGGGUGCGUAGGCGGCUGUUUAAGUCAGUGGUGAAAGACCCCGGCUCAACCGGGGCAGUGCCAUUGAUACUGGACAGCUUGAGUAUUGGAGGGGUACAUGGAAUUGACGGUGUAGCGGUGAAAUGCAUAGAUACCGUCAGGAACACCGAUAGCGAAGGCAUUGUACUGGCCAAUAACUGACGCUGAUGCACGAAAGCAUGGGUAGCGAACAGG